rnacentral:rRNA from 1 species
UACGUAGGGGGCUAGCGUUGUCCGGAAUCCUUGGGCGUAAAGCGCGCGUAGGCUGCUUUGUAAGUUAGAGGUGAAAGCCCGGGGCUCAACUCCGGAAUUGCCUUUAAGACUGCAUCGCUAGAAUCCGGGAGAGGUGAGUGGAAUUCCGAGUGUAGAGGUGAAAUUCGUAGAUAUUCGGAAGAACACCAGUGGCGAAGGCGGCUCACUGGACCGGUAUUGACGCUGAGGUGCGAAAGCGUGGGGAGCAAACAGG